AGGGGCGUGGCUCAACGGGUAGAGCGUCGGUCUCCAAAACCGGAGGUUGCAGGUUCGAAUCCUGUCGCCCCUGC
rnacentral:tRNA from 1 species